UCUUAUUAUUUAUAAUAACUGCAACUGAGUUGUUGAGCUUAAAGGGUUAUGCGUAUGCUGAAAGUUUCAGUUAGUCUUGAAAUGUAACACUUUUUUUCUCUGUUUUAGGUGUUCAUGGAGAUCUAAUUAACGUUACAGGAUUAUGGGCAAGAAUCUCAAGCAUGAAAUCAUUGACCAGAGAAAGUUGGGCAGCUGUUGACAGCUUUCACAACAAAUCAAGUGAUUCAUUUUACUCCCCAACAGACUAAAGAGCCGACUGAUACUAGGUCUCUGAUGCUCAGAGGACUCCCUAUCAUUCAUUUGGCGACAAACCUACAGAUUUCUACAAAGUAUGCUUUGACUCUGAUGACAUUGGAAUCCUCCUCAUUGAGCAUGAAGGUGACAUGCUCUCAUCUUCUCUCCAUCUCAAUCCAACCUCAUUGAAGAUCAUCAUUGAAGGAGAAGUUGUGAUGGACAAUAUUGACGACUUGCCAAAAGCUAUGUGCAUUCUGUAUGGACUUGCUUAUGCACUGCAUCUGACUUACGCACUGCAUCUCAACUACCCUAAAUCUAUGAAGAACACAUUCCAGUUCAUCCAACAGGUACUUCUCAUGAGAGAGAAGACGACUUGGACUAUGCGCAUAAACCUUGCGCGCGGUAUACAAACGAACAUGGAACAAUACAUUUAU